GUAUUCAAACAAUACUUUAUACUUUGUGUGGGUGCAAAUUGUUGAAAUCUUUACUUAGUAUAUACUAAGUUGAUCUUCUGUACAUAAAGAUAAUUAAAAAUGAAUCUUAAUGAAGAAUGGGAUGGGAGAGGGAGUGGAAGAUGGGAUGGUUGCGGGUGGAAGGGUGGUUGGGGGGGGGGGAACCGCUAUAAUCCAAAAGUUGUACUUUUGGAAAUUAUAUUUAUUAAAUAAAGUUUAAAAAUAAGUAAAUAAAUAUAUAGAUUUCACACACACACACAAAGAGUCCUGCUAUUGUCUGAGCUUGUACAGUGAUCAAGGAGACAUUAUGAAUCUCAAAGUAGGGAUCAUGCAGAAGAAACCCGUCAGAAACCAAAGUACGACUUAUCCAACUAGAUCUGUGAAUCAGGAAUCAGGGACCUGGACAAUGUCAAUCAGCCAGCAUGGAAGAGUACCACAUUUUCAUGCAGCUGAAAAUGAAGUACCAGUAGAGGCAUCCCACACUGCCUUAACUACCUCCACAAAGUCAGCCACAACAAGCUGGAGACAAAGGAUUCCAACACAGACGUGUCUAAUGUAAAUGCUGCUGGAUGGGUUCAUGCCUUUUUCUUCUCUGCUAACAGUUAUGUGUGACAUCGUGUCUGAAUCCCAGAAAACAGAAUGUGAAUAGAAGUGAUGGGAGUCAUUUGUGGUCUGUACAAAUUAUCAUCUGCAAACCUCUUAUUUCAAAGAUCUGGAAUAAGGUAAAACUACAAUGGGAAGGAUCACUCCCCAGAUCACUCCCUGGAGAACCUUCCGACACUGCUGGCCUGCUUUGGACUCUUGACCUGGGCCAUGAAUGAGAAAUAAAUCUGCUGUGCUAUUCCACUGAGAUUUGGGGGUUUAUCUAACAGCUGGCAUUAUUUACCUUAACUAAUACAUCCACUUACUUCUCAGUCAUAGAUCAAAGUUUCUUCCAAAAACUCUUUUCU